rnacentral:rRNA from 1 species
GACGAACGCUGGCGGCGUGCUUAACACAUGCAAGUCGAACGGAAAGGCCCUGCUUUUGUGGGGUGCUCGAGUGGCGAACGGGUGAGUAACCCGUGAGUAACCUGCCCUUGACUUUGGGAUAACUUCAGGAAACUGGGGCUAAUACCGGAUAGGAGCUCCUGCUGCAUGGUGGGGGUUGGAAAGUUUCGGCGGUUGGGGAUGGACUCGCGGCUUAUCAGCUUGUUGGUGGGGUAGUGGCUUACCAAGGCUUUGACGGGUAGCCGGCCUGAGAGGGUGACCGGCCACAUUGGGACGGAGAUACGGCCCAGACGCCUACGGGAGGCAGCAGUGGGGAAUAUUGCACAAUGGGCGGAAGCCUGAUGCAGCAACGCCGCGUGCGGGAUGACGGCCUUCGGGUUGUAAACCGCUUUCGCCUGUGACGAAGCGUGAGUGACGGUAAUGGGUAAAGAAGCACCGGCUAACUACGUG